rnacentral:rRNA from 1 species
AUUGAACGCUGGCGGAAUGCUUUACACAUGCAAGUCGAACGGUAGCACGGACUUCGGUCUGGUGGCGAGUGGCGAACGGGUGAGUAAUGUAUCGGAACGUGCCCAGUCGUGGGGGAUAACGUAGUGAAAAUUACGCUAAUACCGCAUACGAUCUCUGGAUGAAAGCGGGGGAUCGCAAGACCUCGCGCGAUUUGAGCGGCCGAUAUCAGAUUAGGUAGUUGGUGGGGUAAAGGCCCACCAAGCCAACGAUCUGUAGCUGGUCUGAGAGGACGACCAGCCAAACUGGAACUGAGACACGGUCCAGAAUCCUGCGGGAGGCAGCAGUGGGGAAUUUUGGACAAUGGGCGAAAGCCUGAUCCAGCCAUGCCGCGUGCAGGAUGAAGGCCCUCGGGUUGUAAACUGCUUUUGUACAGAACGAAAAGGUUUCUACUAAUACUAGGAGCUCAUGACGGUACUGUAAGAAUAAGCACCGGCUAACUACGUGCCAGCCGCCGCCGUAA